ACAAUGUCAGCUGUAAUGCGCAGCUCCUUGAGGGAUUGCUCCAGCUUCAUCUUCGAGAAAAUCUCCAUCUGAGGGGCGUGUGUGUCAAAGGUGCUGGGGUGAUAAAAGACGUAAGAAAAUUCGUACUCGUAAAUGCUUCCAUUUGGCCAGCAUUAUCACCGCCAAUUGCAUCAUGAACAAAGACACCAUAUCAAAAGGAUCUCCAGAAGUUGGAUUAAACAUAUUGAUGGGCCACACAUCAAUGUACUUCACAUGCUUGCUUCUACAUUCGAAAAAGUACAACGAAAUGGGCUUAAAACAAUUAAAAUAAAUUUCCCACUCACAUGGAAAUAAAGUUUUUGUCCAAUCUUUGGAAGUUUCUGCAAA